UACGGAGCCACUUAAUUAAGCGGAUAACUUCUAUUGAAAGGUUCCAGAGUAGGCGCUACAACGCCGAAAUGACCUUCUCACCCUUGUGUUCUCACUAUGUUGCUUUGGCGGGUCGACCUGGUUCCGACCCAGGCGGCCGGCGCCCCCAGCCUUAACUGGCCAGGACGCCCGGCUAAGUGCCCGCCAGUAUACAAAACUCAAGAAUUCAUUUUGUGAAGUCCUGAUAUAUCAUUUAAUUGAUUAAAACUUUCAACAACGGAUCUCUUGGUUCUGGCAUCGAUGAAGAACGCAGCGAAAUGCGAUAAGUAAUGUGAAUUGCAGAAUUCAGUGAAUCAUCGAAUCUUUGAACGCACAUUGCGCCCUCUGGUAUUCCGGAGGGCAUGCCUGUUCGAGCGUCAUUUCAACCCUCAAGCUCUCGUUGGUAUGGGGCAACGUCGCGGGGCGGGAGGUGCCUGAAAGACCUCGGCGAACGGGUCCUAGCCUCGAGGGUAGGAGUUAAAAAUGUCGGGUGGGAGUGCGGGCGAAGGGGCGCGGACAAGCGAACUGGGGC
rnacentral:rRNA from 1 species